AAGUAGACCGCCUGGGGAGUACGGUCGCAAAGACUAAAACUCAAAUGAAUUGACGGGGGCCCGCACAAAGCGGUGGAGCAUGUGGUUUAAUUCGAUGCAACGCGAAGAACCUUACCUGGCCUUGACAUACUAGAAACUUUCCAGAGAUGGAUUGGUGCCUUCGGGAAUCUAGAUACAGGUGCUGCAUGGCUGUAGACAGCUCGUGUCGUGAGAUGUUGGGUUAAGUCCCGCAACGAGCGCAACCCUUUUCCUUAUUUGCCAGCACUUCGGGUGGGAACUUUAAGGAUACUGCCAGUGACAAACUGGAGGAAGGCGGGGACGACGUCAAGUCAUCAUGGCCCUUACGGCCAGGGCUACACACGUGCUACAAUGGUCGGUACAAAGGGUUGCUACCUAGCGAUAGGAUGCUAAUCUCAAAAAGCCGAUCGUAGUCCGGAUUGGAGUCUGCAACUCGACUCCAUGAAGUCGGAAUCGCUAGUAAUCGCGGAUCAGAAUGCCGCGGUGAAUACGUUCCCGGGCCUUGUACACACCCCCCGUCACACCAUGGGAGUUUGUUGCACC
rnacentral:rRNA from 1 species